UACGUAGGGGGCAAGCGUUGUCCGGAAUCAUUGGGCGUAAAGAGCGUGUAUGCGGCCUUUUAAGUCCUGCGUGAAAUCCUGCGGCUCAACCGCAGACGGUCGUGGGAAACUGGAAGGCUAGAGUGCGGGAGAGGAGAGUGGAAUUCCCGGUGUAGCGGUGAAAUGCGCAGAUAUCGGGAAGAACACCCGUGGCGAAGGCGGCUCUCUGGAACGCAACUGACGCUGAGACGCGAAAGCGUGGGGAGCAAACAGG
rnacentral:rRNA from 1 species